GCAAGUCGAACGGUAACAUGACUAGCUUGCUCGUUGAUGACGAGUGGCGGACGGGUGAGUAAUACUUAGGAAUUUGCCUUUUGGUGGGGGAUAACUAUUGGAAACGAUAGCUAAUACCGCAUGUUACCUUCGGGUCAAAGUGGGCUUUUAGCUCACGCUAAAAGAGAAGCCUGAGCGAGAUUAGCUUGUUGGUGAGGUAAUGGCUUACCAAGGCAACGAUCGCUAGCUGUUCUGAGAGGAAGAUC
rnacentral:rRNA from 1 species